UAGUAUUUGGUCGUAGACCCGAAACCAGGUGAUAUACCCUUGGUCAGUAUGAAGUUCAGGUAACACUGAAUGGAGGACCGAACCGACGUACGUUGAAAAGUGAGCGGAUGAUCUGAGGGGAUCGGAGAAAUUUCAAUCGAACCUGGAGAUAGCUGGUUCUCUCCGAAAUAGCUUUAGGGCUAGCCUCAAGUGAUGAUUAUUGGAGGUAGAGCACUGUUUGGACGAGGGGCCCCUCUCGGGUUACCGAAUUCAGACAAACUCCGAAUGCCAAUUA
rnacentral:rRNA from 1 species